GCAGACCGACGCUCUACCACUGAGCCAAACCGGUUUUGGCAAGAAACUAGUGGUUUAAAAAAACAAGCCAACCAACCUGUGGUGAUUCUUUCCUGAGAAUAAUUUUUU